rnacentral:lncRNA from 14 species
GAACAAUUGGUCUGCCAGCAUUGGAGUGUGGUUAAUCAACUAACAAGCUUAUAAAUACAAUAGAUACAGCAAUAUGCUGCUUGUCGAGAGCUCUGUUUCCGAAGGGUCUCAAGCCAUGCCAGAGAAUAUCGCAUUAGCCGUGGCUCUCGCACGCUGCGGUCAGGGAAGCGCCGGCUCUUCCUCUCCUUCCACAGCGAUACAAGGAGGAUUUAAUGGGGCAAAGCUCUGCUGAGGAACCGGGAAAAUGCCAACUGCUUUGAGGUUAGAGGUGAUGCCUGUGUCUUGGAAAGCUGUUCCUGCAUCUGCUGUGUGGCCAAAGCCUAGGAAAGCGAUUGAGGGAAGCAGGUAGAGGCAUGAUGGUUUUGAGGGUGCUUUUAAUGAUAGAAGUUUUCUCUCAGUUGUGUUCAGGCCAUAAUUACAGAGGACAUAAAGGUGCUUAUUUCCUGAUGAUUAAGGCAGGCCAAGGAGAAAACUCUCCCAUCGACGCUGUUAGAAGUUUCAAUGAUGUUUGUGUUUUCCUUGCAGCUUUCGGGAAGUGCACAUGAGCACAAGCACUCAUCCUCCCGAGCACCCUGCCCUGCUCUCAUGGGGAUGGAGAAGGGUCUCAGUCUGGGAUUUACCAGCCAGAAGCAGCACUAACCCUGCAGCAGAAGGGUCUGACACUCUCUCAUCCCCUUUUCAAACCUGCUGGGGGAAAAAGGUCCCCCCAAAUCCCUCCUGUUGCCCUGCACACUGGCAGAGGGAAGCCUUGCUGCUGUGAGGGGUGGGCUGCUGAAACCCCAGGCAGGCCACAGGAACACAACAUGGGCAGAGAGGGAAGAACUGGCAAUUCCCUGUGCUCCUUUACCCUCCAGCCCCAGCAGAGCAGCCGCCGGUUGUCACCUCCCCACCGAC